UACGUAGGGUGCGAGCGUUAAUCGGAAUUACUGGGCGUAAAGCGUGCGCAGGCGGUUCGCCAAGUCAGGUGUGAAAUCCCCGGGCUUAACCUGGGAAUUGCGCUUGAAACUAGCGGGCUUGAGUGUGGCAGAGGGGGGUAGAAUUCCACGUGUAGCAGUGAAAUGCGUAGAGAUGUGGAGGAAUACCGAUGGCGAAGGCAGCCCCCUGGGAUGACACUGACGCUCAUGCACGAAAGCGUGGGGAGCAAACAGG
rnacentral:rRNA from 1 species